CCUACGGGUGGCAGCAGUGGGGAAUAUUGCACAAUGGGGGAAACCCUGAUGCAGCGACGCCGCGUGAGUGAAGAAGUAUUUCGGUACGUAAAGCCCUAUCAGCAGGGAAGAUAAUGACGGUACCUGACUAAGAAGCACCGGCUAACUACGUGCCAGCAGCCGCGGUAAUACGUAGGGGGCAAGCGUUAUCCGGAUUUACUGGGGGUAAAGGGAGCGUAGACGGCAGCGCAAGUCUGGAGUGAAAUCCCAUGGCUUAACCAUGGAACUGCUUUGGAAACUGUUCAGCUAGAGUGCAGGAGAGGUGAGCGGAAUGCCGGGUGUAGCGGUGAAAUGCGUAGAUACUAGGAGGAAAACCAGUGGCGAAGGCAGCUUACUGAACUGUAACUGACGUUGAGGCUCGAAAGCGUGGGGAGCAAACAGGAUUAGAUACCCAGUAGUC
rnacentral:rRNA from 1 species